rnacentral:rRNA from 1 species
GACGAACGCUGGCGGCGUGCUUAACACAUGCAAGUCGAACGGAAAGGCCCUGCUUUUGUGGGGUGCUCGAGUGGCGAACGGGUGAGUAACACGUGAGUAACCUGCCCUUGACUUUGGGAUAACUUCAGGAAACUGGGGCUAAUACCGGAUAGGAGCUCCUGCUGCAUGGUGGGGGUUGGAAAGUUUCGGCGGUUGGGGAUGGACUUGCGGCUUAUCAGCUUGUUGGUGGGGUAGUGGCUUACCAAGGCUUUGACAGGUAGCCGGCCUGAGAGGGUGACCGGCCACAUUGGGACUGAGAUACGGCCCAGACUCCUACGGGAGGCAGCAGUGGGGAAUAUUGCACAAUGGGCGGAAGCCUGAUGCAGCAACGCCGCGUGCGGGAUGACGGCCUUCGGGUUGUAAACCGCUUUCGCCUGUGACGAAGCGUGAGUGACGGUAAUGGGUAAAGAAGCACCGGCUAACUACGUG